rnacentral:rRNA from 1 species
UACAGAGGUGGCAAGCGUUGUUCGGAAUUACUGGGCGUAAAGGGCGCGUAGGCGGCCUUCUAAGUCAGACGUGAAAUCCCCCGGCUUAACCUGGGAACUGCGUCUGAUACUGGAGGGCUUGAGUGCGGGAGAGGGAUGUGGAAUUCCAGGUGUAGCGGUGAAAUGCGUAGAUAUCAGGAGGAACACCGGUGGUGUAAACGGCUCUCUGGACCGUAACUGACGCUGAGGCACGAAAGCGUGGGUAGCAAACAGG